UCGAGAAUCCUUCGCAAUGGGCGAAAGCCUGACGAUGCGACGCCGUGUGUAUGAUGAAGGCCUUCGGGUUGUAAAGUACUUUCGCCUGGGAACAAGAGAAGCGGACUAAUAUUCCGCUAAUUUGAGGGUACCAGGUAAAGAAGCACCGGCUAACUCCGUGCCAGCAGCUGCGGUAAUACGGAGGGUGCAAGCAUUAAUCGGAUUUAUUGGGCGUAAAGGGCGCGUAGGCGGGAAUGUAAGUCGGUCGUGAAAUCCCGGGGCUCAACCCCGGAACAGCGUUCGAAACUACAUUUCUAGAGGGUAGGCGGAGAAAAUGGAAUUCCACGUGUAGCGGUGAAAUGCGUAGAUAUGUGGAAGAACACCGGUGGCGAAGGCGAUUUUCUAGCUUAUACCUGACGCUGAGGCGCGAAAGCAAGGGGAUCAAACAG
rnacentral:rRNA from 1 species